AUUGAGCGCUGGCGGCAGGCUUAACACAUGCAAGUCGAGCGGGGUGAUGGUGCUUGCACUAUCACUUAGCGGCGGACGGGUGAGUAAUGCUUAGGAAUCUGCCUAUUAGUGGGGGACAACAUCUCGAAAGGGAUGCUAAUACCGCAUACGUCCUACGGGAGAAAGCAGGGGAUCUUCGGACCUUGCGCUAAUAGAUGAGCCUAAGUCGGAUUAGCUAGUUGGUGGGGUAAAGGCCUACCAAGGCGACGAUCUGUAGCGGGUCUGAGAGGAUGAUCCGCCACACUGGGACUGAGACACGGCCGAGACUCCUACGGGAGGCAGUAGUGGGGAAUAUUGGACAAUGGGGGGAACCCUGAUCCAGCCAUGCCGCGUGUGUGAAGAAGGCCUUAUGGUUGUAAAGCACUUUAAGCGAGGAGGAGGCUACUUUAGUUAAUACCUAGAGAUAGUGGACGUUACUCGCAGAAUAAGCACCGGCUAACUCUGUGCCAGCAGCCGCCGCGG
rnacentral:rRNA from 1 species